ensembl:lncRNA
GUCACUGACGUGAUCUUCCUGUCUUUGUGCAGUAGCGGAGAUCUUUGUGGGCUAUACUCGACCUUGUCUCAGGAUGGUAGGUUGGUGGUUGAAGAUAUCCCUCUAGUGGUGUGGGGGCAGUGCUUUGGCAAAGUGGGUGGGGUUAUAUCCUUCCCUUUUGGCCCUGUCCGGGGGUAUCAUCGGAUGGGGCCACAGUGUCUCCUGACCCCUCCUGUCUCAGCCUCCAGUAUUUAUGCUGCAGUAGUUUUUGUGUCGGAGGGUGAGGGUCAGUUUGUUAUAUCUGGAGUACUUCUCCUGUCUUAUCCGGUGUCCUGUGUGAAUUUAAGUAUGCUCUCUCUAAUUCUCUCCUUCUCUCUUUCUCUCUCUCGGAGGACCUGAGCCCUAGGACCAUGCCUCAGGACUACCUGGCAUGAUGACUCCUUGCGGUCCCAAGUCCACCUGGCCGUGCUGCUGCUCCAGCUUCAACUGUUCUGCCUGCGGCUAUGGAACCCUGACCUGUUCACCGGACAUGCUACCUGUCCCAGACCUGCUGUUUUCAACUCUCCAGAGACAGCAGGAGCGGUAGAGACACUCUUAAUGAUCAGCUAUGAAAAGCCAACUGACAUUUACUCCUGAGGUGCUGACUUGCUGCACCCUCGACAACUACUGUGAUUAUUAUUAUUUGACCAUGCUGGUCAUCUUUGAACAUUUGAACAUCUUGGCCAUGUUCUGUUAUAAUCUCCACCCGGCACAGCCAGAAGAGAACUGGCCACCCCACAUAGCCUGGUUCCUAGGUUUCUUCCUAGGUUUUAAUCUCCACUCCACACUUCAUUACCAUGAAACAUAACCACUGUCCUAGUCUGAAGUGUGUCGUGACUUCAUUACCAUGAAACAUAACCAAUGUCCCAGUCUGAAGUGUGUGGUGACUUCAUUACCAUGAAACAUAACCACUGUCCCAGUCUGAAGUGUGUAGUGACUUCAUUACCAUGAAACAUAACCAAUGUCCCAGUCUGAAGUGUGUAGUGACUUCAUUACCAUGAAACAUAACCAAUGUCCCAGUCUGAAGUGUGUAGUGACUGCAUUACCAUCAGCCUGAAGAAGGGUUGUUUCUGACUCGUACAGUCCACAUUCGAAGUUCCCAAAAGCCAAACUGCAAAAAUAUUCAAUGAGAUCCAGGAAUAUGACUCUCCUUAAAAAUUAGAGCAUAGAUUGGUUGAAAUGAAAAUACAUAACAUGGCCUGUUUGUAUUUAUGUAUGGUCAAAAGACUAUACUGCUCCCACGUCUAGCUAGGACUGCCCCCCCCCCUGAAGCCCCAACUUCCUGCCUUUAUCCCAUCACUAACACACCACAGUACAAUGAAUGGGCAAGAGGGGGAGACACAAACUAAGCUACACUAAUAAUAAUGAAUGAAGGUACACUAAUAACAUGAAGGUACACUAAUAACAUGAAGGUACACUAAUAACAUGAAGGUACACUAAUAACAUGAAGGUACACUAAUAACAUGAAGGUACACUAAUAACAUGAAG